UACAGAGGGUGCAAGCGUUAAUCGGAAUUACUGGGCGUAAAGCGUGCGUAGACGGUUAUGUAAGUCAGAUGUGAAAGCCCCGGGCUUAACCUGGGAAUGGCAUUUGAGACUGCAUAGCUAGGGUGCGGAAGAGGGAAGCGGAAUUUCCGGUGUAGCGGUGAAAUGCGUAGAUAUCGGAAGGAACACCAGUGGCGAAAGCGGCUUCCUGGUCCAGCACCGACGUUCAGGCACGAAAGCGUGGGGAGCAACAGG
rnacentral:rRNA from 1 species